rnacentral:rRNA from 1 species
UACGUAGGGUGCGAGCGUUGUCCGGAAUUAUUGGGCGUAAAGGGCUCGUAGGCGGUUUGUCGCGUCGGGAGUGAAAUCCACUGGCUUAACUGGUGGCUUGCUUUCGAUACUGGCAGACUGGAGGUAUGCAGGGGAGAACGGAAUUCCUGGUGUAGCGGUGAAAUGCGCAGAUAUCAGGAGGAACACCGGUGGCGAAAGCGGCGCACUGGACCAUAACUGACGCUGAGGCGCGAAAGCUAGGGGAGCAAACAGG